rnacentral:rRNA from 1 species
UACGAAGGGGGCUAGCGUUGUUCGGAAUUACUGGGCGUAAAGCGCACGUAGGCGGACUUUCAAGUCAGGGGUGAAAUCCCGGGGCUCAACCUCGGAACUGCCUUUGAUACUGUUAGUCUUGAGCUCGGAAGAGGUGGGUGGAAUUCCUAGUGUAUAGGUGAAAUUCAUAGAUAUUAGGAAGAACACCGGUGGCGAGGGCGGCCCACUGGUCCGAUGCUGACGCUGAGGUGCGAAAGCGUGGGGAGCAAACAGG